rnacentral:lncRNA from 1 species
CUGGUGGUUGGCGUUGUUGUUGGCCAGUUGCUGAGUGGUCAGCUGAAAAAAUUGGGUCUAGGCGACCAACAGUUGAUGCAUGGUUGCAGCAUUCCCUUCUGCUUCAGCGUUGUUAGCCUCGGCGUUGUUAGCGGGGUUCUGGCGUCUUGGAGGCAUCUGUUUAGGGUAGCAUAGAUGAGGAAUAAUAGACAGAAUAGAGCUAAGGAUGUCUAAGCCCCCACAAAACCAGAUAUUAACACAAGCAUAACUCAAUCAUACACUCAAUCAUUCAUAAAAAGGUUUUGAAAGAGAUAGCAAAUCACACUUGUUCAUGAUGGGACAUUGCCCAUAAAUCAAAAAGUACGGAAUGCAAUCGAUCUACAUUGCCAUACACAUAGAUUGUAUGGUCGAUGACUAACUCAUAAAACUGAUAACAAAAAAAAAACUGAUAAAGACUGGCAGCAUCGAG